rnacentral:rRNA from 1 species
UACGUAGGGUGCGAGCGUUGUCCGGAAUUAUUGGGCGUAAAGGGCUCGUAGGCGGUUUGUCGCGUCGGGAGUGAAAACUCAGGGCUUAACCCUGAGCCUGCUUCCGAUACGGGCAGACUAGAGGUAUGCAGGGGAGACUGGAAUUCCUGGUGUAGCGGUGAAAUGCGCAGAUAUCAGGAGGAACACCGGUGGCGAAGGCGGGUCUCUGGGCAGUAACUGACGCUGAGGAGCGAAAGCGUGGGGAGCGAACAGG